UAUUAACCGUUUCUGAGCAUUCUAUUGUGUCAUUGUUAAUUCAUGGUAGUUAACGCUUAUAUGAAAUGGAUCACUAGUGUAUCAGGUAAUUUUGUCAUCAUUGCCAAAUUCAAAAUUCAAUAUUAUUUAUAGUUAUUUUAAAAUGCUUAAUCUUGUGAUCUGAUUGUAAUUAUAUUUAAUUUAAAAAGUAUAUACACUGGUAAUUUUGCCAAAAAGGUCCACAAACAUGUAUUACUCUGAUAUGAAUCAUCUAUUUUUUCUUUAUUUUUGUGUUUAAAGAUUUAUUAUCCUCAUCACUUGGUUGCUAGCCAUAUUCUGUUAUUUAAUUCUUUAUUGAUUGCUUCUUUGAAUUUGUGGAAGCGAGCAGUUUCUGGGAUAUUUUGUUAAACAGGCAAUGAUUUAAAAAAAUACAACAAAUGGGAGUUCAAACUGAUGAUGUGAAUUCCUGAAACGUUCAGACCAAAACACAAGCUUGUUGAGUACAGCUGUUGUUUUAAUAUGGGUGUACAAAUGUAUAGUGUUCAUGAAUCAAAUGAUUGUUCCAUUUUACAGUUUGUAUUAAUGACAUUUGUAAAACCAAUUUUUAAAAUCAUUUUAAUAUGUUUUCAUGCAUAUACAUGUAUGUCUGUGAUAUGUUAGUUGAAUAUAAGUGAAGCAGAAUAAACGUAAGCUUUGG
rnacentral:misc_RNA from 1 species